UUUGGUCUCUUGUGUUUCAGGUAC
rnacentral:siRNA from 1 species